AGAGUUCGACUGCGCGGGAUAUAACCUCACUGAACAGACUCGCUACAGCAGCCCUUACACAUGCAAGGAAUACUAUUGGUGUGCUUAUAAUGAGUUCGAAGCAUAUAAAGUGACUUGCAAGACGCCCGGAGUAGUUUUUGAUGUUGAUCUUCAAGCUUGUAAUCACCACUACUUGACAGCGCCACCGUGUGGAACAUACGUUUACCCAUGAGAAGAUGGCAGAAUUUUUUCUCGUGCGAUGUGCAUUGAAGCGUAUAUCCUUGUUCGUAUGAAGUGC